UGUCACCCCAUUGAUCGCCAGGGUUGAUUUGGCUGAUCAGGCUGGCUAGGCGGGUGUCCCCUUCCUCCCUCACGGCUCCAUGUGCGUCCCUCCCGAAGCUGCACACUCGGUCGAAGAGGACGACCACCCCCGAUAGAGGAGGACUGAAGGGCGUCUGUAGGGAAAGAGGUCCAAGCAG